GAUGAACGCUGGCGGCGUGCCUAAUACAUGCAAGUCGAGCGAACAGACGAGGAGCUUGCUCCUCUGACGUUAGCGACGGACGGGUGAGUAACACGUAGAUAACCUACCUAUAAGACUGGGAUAACUUCGGGAAACCGGAGCUAAUACCAGAUAAUAUAUUGAACCGGAUGGUUCAGUAGUGAAAGACGGUUUUGCUGUCACUUAUAGAUGGAUCCGCUCCGCAUUAGCUAGUUGGUAAGGUAACGGCUUACCAAGGCAACGAUGCGUAGCCGACCUGAGAGGGUGAUCGGCCACACUGGAACUGAGACACGGUCCAGACUCCUACGGGAGGCAGCAGUAGGGAAUCUUCCGCAAUGGGCGAAAGCCUGACGGAGCAACGCCGCGUGAGUGAUGAAGGUCUUCGGAUCGUAAAACUCUGUUAUUAGGGAAGAACAAAUGUGUAAGUAACUAUGCACGUCUUGACGGUACCUAAUCAGAAAGCCACGGCUAACUACGUG
rnacentral:rRNA from 1 species